rnacentral:misc_RNA from 1 species
AAGUCGUAACAAGGUUUCCGUAGGUGAACCUGCGGAAGGAUCAUUAAUGAAUGUAAGGAUGCUCUUUUUAGAGGUCCGACCCAAUCAUUUUCCAACCCUGUGCACACACACUACUUUUUGAAUACACCAUUUUAAAAACCUCGUAAAAGUCUAUAAGGAUGUAAAAGUCUCUUCAUUGAGCAUAAAAUUAAAACAAAA